UCCGCCAGCCUCAACCUCCCAAAGUGCUGGGAUUGGAGAUGUGAGCCACUGCACCCGGCUGGGGAAUAUUUUUGGUGGGUGGAAAAUUUUUCAGGGUUGACUUAGCAGACCCUCACACAAAAGGCACCAAAACAGGAAGCAAGUAAAAGUUCACAUCCACUCUUCUGUUCCAGAAAAGAUGAAUUAUGCCUGACUGUACCUGAUGGAAAAAUCCUUUCAUUUUCAGUUGUAUGAGGGAAACACUAACUGCCUUCGGAAAGGAACUCAACACUUCGGUGGCCUAAGACAAUAGAAGUUGGAUCCUCAUCCUCCAUCAGCCUGAUGUGGUGCUCCUGACAGGUUUUCCUAAGAGUCUGUACUCUUCAGAUAAGCCAGAAGGUCAAAGAUAAAGACAUCUUCUCCUGGAAGUUCAUCUAUUAGACACUUGGAGUGACGUCAUGGCUCCCUCUAUGCUCCUACCUUCAAAGACUUGAACGACAGCAAGAUGAGGCCCCAGAAGUUCAAGGCUGAGCUGGGAGUCAAGGGCACCGUCCAGUCAACUACUAAGGACUAGGGUGCCUUUGAACGAGAUGGUAUCUCUGGGCCUCGCUUACUUAUCCACAGAAAGGGAAGGUGGACUAAAUCAUCCUUAAAGGCACUUCUAGCUCUGAGAUUCUCUAAGUCCUGCUACGGGGAAGGAAACCAACCCACAGUUGGCCCCGCUGUGUGGCUGUGACUCAGAAAGGGGCUGCUGGCUGAGCAGCACUGACUCAAAGGGUGCAAAGGCAAGGGAGGCAGCAGAAGCAGGAUGUGGCCCCUGAGGUCACGGGAAACAGCCUUCCUGGUUAAAACAAAACACAAAGCCAGCCGCAGUUGGAGCAGAGAAGUGGCUGUUCAGGUGUGAGAGGGCAGGGGAAUGAUGGGGGCCUGACCAGGUCCCCGCUUCCUCGGGAUUCUUCCACUUUAAGCCAAUUACCUCCAGCUCAGGAGGAGGCAAAAACAUCUCUCUUUGGUCCCAUUAACUGAAAAGAAAUUUGCUUAAGUGACAAGAGAUAGGCCCAGUACCAAAAGGAUCAGGGUUUUUGGAAGAAGAGAUUUCUGGUCUCAGGGAAAUUCAGCUUUGUCCCUAAGAGGCUGCCACAGCUUCUCAGGUGCCUCUCCUGGUUCCCUUUCCCCCGACCCUCUCCUGCCCAGGGGCCCACCUGCCCCUGCUCUUUUUGCGCGGACACUGCCAUCUUGUCCACUUUUCCAAACAUGCCCGGAAGACCCUUGAGAGCAACCCUCACAAUGUUUGCUUCCUUCAGAGGUCCAGCCCAGCUCACCUGAAACCAGCACCAUCACUGGGCUUUGAGGAUGAACACGGACUGAGAUCCAAAACCCUGGACCUUGAUACCUACGUUUCCCCAAAAACACAUUCCUCAGAAUGCUGAUCCUCCGAGGGCCGUGUGAUCAAGUACCCCCAAGAAACACCAACCAGCCUUGGUCAUUCCCGUGGGUAUGCCCACUUCCAGCAUCCUGAAAAGACUUGUGGUUAAACAAAACCAGCCCCAUUUCCCCGGUGUACCUGACCACGGGACACUUUUUUGUGGUGUUCCUGCUACUAUUUCUUAGGACCCUUAGACUCUGUGGAACCUUUCUCGGGAAGCCGUCCUGCUGCCUCCCUCAACCAAACCCACCUCCAAAGGAGCGCUCCAGUUCUCCCAAGGGAGGGCCUUUCCCGACACACAGGAAGCUGGCCACACCCACUGCAGACCUGCAAGUGGCCACACCCACUGCAGACCUGCAAGGGGGCCUUACUGUUCUCACCAUGCAGUCACAGGAGAAUCGCCACAAAUGCAGACUGAGAAACUCAUGGGGAGAAGACGAGGCAAGAUUGAGGGGUGAGAAAACCACAGAGGGUCCUGAGGAGGCAGACCUCGUGCUUAGACUCCGAGCCAGAAAAUACGAGGCCCUUGGCACAUUAUCUGUGGCUCUGAAGGAUACCUGAGAGCUUCACCCCCAUCCCUGGCCCAGAGACUGGCUGGCCCAGAUGGCAGGGACCACACCUCCACUCUCUAUCUCCCACAAGCAGCUGGCCUAGGAGGGCAACUUUCCACACGCCACCGCUCACUCCACCCACCCAGCGUGCACCACAGGCCCUUCCCUGACUUUGAACUUCAGCUCUCUUCUGCCCCAACUCUCCAGCAAGUUUCCAUCCACGUACACUCCUCUGCAGGGGGAGAAAGACACCACAAUUUGUUCACCUCACAGGCGAGGAGGCCAAACACUGUUGAACGGUGGGAGAAGGAACAAUCUAGAUAUGGAGAGGCCAUUACAAAAGAGGAUGG